UAUCAAUCAUGGAUAAAAAAUCGAUAGGAAAAAGCCGGCUAUCGGAGUCGAACCGAUGACCAUCGCAUUACAAAUGCGAUGCUCUAACCUCUGAGCUAAGCGGGC
rnacentral:tRNA from 1 species